rfam:Angiostrongylus costaricensis strain Costa Rica genome assembly, scaffold: ACOC_scaffold0002272
GCAGAGAUUUCCGAGUGGCUAAGGAGAUUGACUAGAAAUCAAUUGGGCUCUGCCCGCGUAGGUUCGAAUCCUGCUCGCUGCG